GGGGCGGCCUCGCUCCCUCCUCCCUCCCCUGCUGGUUCCCUCGCGCCCGCCCUCCCAGCAAACCCCUUUCGCCGCCGCGGCCCCAGGCCCGGGGCGCCAGCUGCCAGGCGGGGCGUGCGCGUCGGGGGGAGGGGGCGGACGGGAGCCGGCGCUGGGCCGGGGGAGGGGAGGUAGGGCGGCGGGGCCGCGGGGAGCGGGCACCGGGAGGGAGGGGGCGGCGGGCUGCGGCCGAGCGACGCGCGUCCUCCUCGGCCCCAUCCCCGAGUCACCCCCCCCCCGCAGCCCCGCCCCCGGCCCGAGGGCAGCGCUGGGACACGGCCCGGAGGUGGCCUGGGGGUGGCGCGGGGCGGGGAGGUGGGGGUGGGAGGGAUGUCCCGCCCUCGGGGAAGCCCGGGGAGGGGGCGGGCGCGCUGAUGACCGGAGGGAGGGCGUGCGGGCCCAGAGGAAAAGCCCCGAAGACCGGGAAGAUGGAGGAGGUCCCUGCGGCCGAGGGGGCGGGGGCCCCUAGCCUCCCUCCCGCGGGGUCACCUUGGCCAGGCCCCCCGCGGCCACGGGCGGCGGGGAGGGCGGCAGGAAUGCCUCUCCGCAGGCCCUGAUUUCUCCGCCCAGCCCAGUUCCAGGAACGCGCGGGCAGCGCCCGGCAGGCAGAGGCCCCGGCUUCGGAUUCGGGGAGGCGCAAGCCAGGGUUCGAGGCCGGGAUGAGCCCCUCCCUCCCGUCCCUCGCCGGGCUGGUCCCCGCCUUGCCCUCGGCCUCAGUUUCCCACCCGGUAGAAUUAGGACGAGGUCGGGCCGGGAACAGCCCUGGCUUCCGCUCGGCCCCAGUCUUGGUCCCAGCAUUUGGGACAACCUGCAUCCCCAGCCUGAGCGCCGCGGGGUCCUUGCUCGCUCUGGGACCUUCCGCGUCCAACGGCGGCGCCUGCGGUUAGGACGCGCGGUGGGAGUGGAUGCCGGCGAGUGCGAAAGCCCGGCACCCGCACCCGCCUAAGCUGUUUCUCCCUCCUGAUGUUGAAUCCAGGCUCUGAGUUCCUGAAUGUGUGUUGUUUGGGCCAAUCUGGAGCCCCCGCCCAAUUAUCUUCCUGCUGCUCUGCUGUCAGGUGGCAAAUCUUGGUUCAAAAACAGUCCUCCUGCUAUUGGCCAGCCUUGCCGCUUCACAGUUGGCCUUGAGGAGCCCAAGAGACGAAAAGCAUCCUCUAUAGGUGAGGCAUCUAACUCCGGGUGUCAUUACGCCUUCGUUCGUGUAUUUGAUGCUGCUGUCUCCCGCCACAGCCCGAGGCCGGUGGGUCUUGAUCACGCAACAUCCUCAGCUCUUGGUACAGAGCUUGGCACCUAGUAGGUGCUCAAGACGUGUUGCAACGGAUGGUCAUAGGGGUAAGACUCUUACAAUCCAGUAGGACCUGAAUCCAAUGACCAGGAGGCAGCGCCUGCUAUAGCAGUCACACCAAGCUUGGCUUCCUCCUUCUUAGUGAAAGUACUAAACCAGAAGUUCCCCAACUUACAGCAAGAAGGCAGCCAUCUGCAAGCCAGGAAGAGUGUCUUCACCAGGAACUGAAUCUGCCAGCACUUUGAUCUUGGACUUCAGCCUCCAGAACUGUUGGAAAUAAUGUGUGUUGUUUAAGCUACUCCAUCUAUGUUAUUUUGUUAUAGUAGUCUGAGCUAGGAUAAUUGCUGAAAGAAAUUUUUGGGGGGCUGAAUCUGGUGCCUUAAACUUUCAACAAUAAACAUUUAUUGAACAUC